rnacentral:tRNA from 1 species
GCGGCAAUAGCUCAGUGGAUAGAGCAACUGACUACGAAUCAGUAGGUCGAGGGUUCAAGUCCCCCUUGCCGCGCUA